AUACGGAGGGUGCAAGCGUUGUUCGGAAUCACUGGGCGUAAAGGGCGCGCAGGCGGUUUGAUUAGUCAGAUGUGAAAGCCCACGGCUUAACCGUGGAAGUGCAUUUGAAACUGUCAGACUUGAGUAUCAGAGGGGAAAGUGGAAUUCCCGGUGUAGAGGUGAAAUUCGUAGAUAUCGGGAGGAAUACCGGUGGCGAAGGCGACUUUCUGGCUGAAUACUGACGCUGAGGCGCGAAAGCGUGGGGAGCAAACAGGAUUAGAAACCCUAGUAGUCC
rnacentral:rRNA from 1 species